GAUGAACGCUGGCGGCGUGCCUAAUACAUGCAAGUCGAACGCUGGAGAUCUAGCUUGCUAGCUCGAAGGAGUGGCGAACGGGUGAGUAAUACAUAAGCAACCUACCCACGAAGACUGGGAUAAUCUCUGGAAACGGGGACUAAUACCGGAUAGGUAAUCGGAAGGCAUCUUCUGGUUAUUAAAGGUUAAAAACACUGGUGGAUGGGCUUAUGGCGCAUUAGUUAGUUGGUGAGGUAACGGCCCACCAAGACGAUGAUGCGUAGCCGGCCUGAGAGGGUGAACGGCCACAUUGGGACUGAGACACGGCCCAGACUCCUACGGGAGGCAGCAGUAGGGAAUUGUCGGCAAUGGGGGCAACCCUGACCGAGCAACGCCGCGUGAGUGAAGACGGCCUUCGGGUUGUAAAGCUCUGUUGUAAGGGAAGAACGGUAGAUAGAGAAUAUCUAAGUGACGGUACCUGACCAGAAAGCCACGGCUAACUACGUG
rnacentral:rRNA from 1 species